AGGAAAAGAAACCAACCGGGAUUGCCCUAGUAACGGCGAGUGAAGCGGCAAGAGCUCAAAUUUGAAAGCUGGCUCCUUCGGGGUCCGCAUUGUAAUUUGCAGAGGAUGCUUCGGAAUCGGCCCCCAUCUAAGUGCCCUGGAACGGGCCGUCAUAGAGGGUGAGAAUCCCGUCUGGGAUGGGGUGUCCGUGCCCGUGUGAAGCUCCUUCGACGAGUCGAGUUGUUUGGGAAUGCAGCUCUAAUUGGGUGGUAAAUUUCAUCUAAAGCUAAAUAUUGGCCGGAGACCGAUAGCGCACAAGUAGAGUGAUCGAAAGAUGAAAAGCACUUUGAAAAGAGAGUUAAAAAGCACGUGAAAUUGUUGAAAGGGAAGCGCUUGCGACCAGACUCGCCCGCGGGGUUCAGCCGGCAUUCGUGCCGGUGUACUUCCCCGCGGGCGGGCCAGCGUCGGUUUGGGCGGCCGGUCAAAGGCCCCUGGAAUGUAACGCCUCUCGGGGCGUCUUAUAGCCAGGGGUGCCAUGCGGCCUGCCCGGACCGAGGAACGCGCUUCGGCUCGGACGCUGGCAUAAUGGUCGUAAGCGACCCGUCUU
rnacentral:rRNA from 1 species